rnacentral:tRNA from 1 species
GCGGGUAUCGUAUAACGGUAUUAUCACAGGUUUCCAACCUGUUGACAGGGGUUCGACUCCCCUUACCCGCU